CUGCCGUUGACGGUCGCUCUUCUGGGUUAGGCAAGUGGGAAACGGGUGGGGCUGUUUGGGCGGAGGGUUGCGAAGCCAAAGCUGCUCUGCCGCCUUUCGAACCUUUUUCUCUGGAGGUGAUGCUCGCCUCAAACUGCGUCUUGCGAGAGAUAAGCGGAAAAUCACGCCGAAAUGGAACUACGACUUGAAACUGGAAUUGGAAAUCGAGACGAAAACGAAAGCCAAGCUGCGAGAGCUUGAGUUGAAUGAGGCCAAAACCUGUGAAACCUGUGCAGAAUGCUGCACCUUCUACUGACUUUGUAUAAUACUGGCGUACGUUUGAUGUGUCUGAUGUUGGUGCAGUCUGGGCACUAGUGUCUGUUGGCUUGUUGACUAUCACUAGCCGCGUUUCCACUGUCUGGCUUAAACCGUGUGUGCUAGUGCGUGCCAGGGCCAGUCGCAUUUCCAUUGUCACUUCCGGGGCUUGAUCGUGCCUUGUCGGGGCUUCUAACAGCUCGGGUUUUUUAGCCCGACGAAAACCUUGGGCCAAAGCGGGCCAACUGAGGCUAGAGGCAUGGUCAAAGUGAAAGGUGGAGCUUUCUCCGGUAAGCGAGUAUUAUGUUGUGCAAAGAAUUCCAACUAAACUUAAAAUAGAGAAUCGCCAGUACUGGUCUGUGGAAGAUACCAGGGCUCUUCUUAGCAUUUGGGCAGAGGACAAUGUACAACGCCAGUUUGACGGGAUCUGCAGGAAUGAAGAUGUAAUGAAAUACAUUGUUGCUGAACUCGCAAAGUUAAGUAUCCAGCGAGUUCGAGAGAAAUUAAAGAAAUUACGGGCACAGUAUAAAGUCAUAAAAACACACAAUUGACAAAAUGGUGCCCAGAGAAGGUGAUUGCAUAUUUUUAUGUUUUCUUACCAGUAAGUAAUUAUAGCUAAAUGUAUGUUUAUUGUAGAGAGACACGAUGGUCCCCAAGACAUUACAGUAAACAGAGGGGGAUCACAUCGCUUUCCACGAAGGACCAGAACAGAAAGUUGAAAACAUAAAGCUGCUAAUUUGGCAUCAAGGAAAUUUUUGCAGUGUAUGCGUGACAUAACACAGAAACAGCUGGAAGAAGAGCGGGAGUUGAGAAGGGAAGAAAUGAACAAAGACAUGAUGAUGAGAAGAGAGGAGCUGGAUUAUGAGGCACGACUCAGAUGUGAAGAGAUGUCUCAGAGAGAGAAGGAAGCAGAUGCUUUUGCUUCUGUCUUUGCACAUUUGGCAGCAGCUCUACAAAAAAAGUAGAUGAACACUGCACUUGUUUUUGUGUUCUGUAAAGCAAACCUAUUCAUAUUACUUGUUUCAUAUUUUAAAUUUUUCUUUUAAAUAUUUUUUUGUCUAAAUACUAUAUUGCACAAACACCUGUUUGUUGUGUAUGCACAUUUUCAAAGCACCUUUGUAUUUAUUCGCUGAUACAAA